GGAAGCCAGGGUGGGGAUCCCAGGUCAUGCCAGACAGGAGCUGAGAAAAUAUUGAAGGAAAGAUGAGAAAUUUCACAUCCACUUCUACUGAACAUGGAGCCAAAGCUUGGGAACAGGCUUUGCCUGUCUUCCCCUUGUCUCUGUCUACCCAGUGGAAAAAAGUGCUGUGACCAUCUCCUCUGGAAAACUGGGAAAAUGCCGAAGCAAGUCUCAGCAUGUUCUACAGUCUCACUCUGAAAUGCUGUUGAGACUGCAAAGGAGCCAUGGUAGGGUGUUACCUAGCCAUCAAAGCUGCUACAUCCCAAUGAAAUGCUUUAAUUUUAUCUUUCCUGAGUUCUGAAUCCUAGUCAUUUCGGAUGAUAAUUCAGUAUCUCAACAGAGGUGAUAGAGUUGCUGACAAUUGUGCAUAACAACAAAUAUGUUGAGUUUUAA
rnacentral:lncRNA from 1 species